rnacentral:snRNA from 1 species
GGAUGGGAGGGCGAUCUGACUGCAACAUCUGUCACCCCAUUGAUCACCAGGGUCCAUUCGACUGAUCUGGCUGGCUAGGCGGGUGUCCCCUUCCUCCCUCACUGCUCCACGUGUGUCCCUCUCAAAGCCGCAUGCUUGGUUGAAGAGGACAAACUUCCCCGCUAGAGGAGGACUGUUCUUCAGUCAAGGGUAUACGAGUAGCUGCGUUUCCCUGCUUGAACCUCCAAACAAGCUCUCAAGGCCCAUUUGUAGGAGAACGUCGGGUAGUCAAGCUUCCAAGACUCCAGACACCUCCAAAUGAGGCACUGCAUUU